CAGCCCCUCAACCGGCCAGCGUUCGAAUCCCACGAAAAACAAAUUUUGCGGCCCUACUCUGAAAAUCCAGCGCGGCCGCUCCCUCCCGCGCGCCUCCUGCAAACCUCGCCGCCAACCUCCCGCCGAACCCGUCGUGCGCCUCCCGCCGAGCCCCGCCCUCCGCCGAGCCCCGCCCUAUGCCUCCCGCCGAGGCCCGCCCUGCGCCGGCGGCCGGAGUGCCACGCGCCUCCCCCUCCAGCGGCCUGCGGGCUCGGAGCCGGCGGCCGGAGUGCCGCGCGCCUCCCCUCCAGUAGGAUUCGGGCUCGGACGCCGCCGCCGGGAGGCGCGCUGCCUGCGGGCUCGGCCACCGCAUCCGGGACGCGCCCCGCCUGCGGGCUCGGCUGCAGCCGCCGGCGCGCGCGCAGGCGCAGGUUUGGGGUGCCGCCGCCGGCCGCGCUGAGACGACGUCAGGACUGGGAUCGGCGACACAAUCUCCCGCGAACCUCGCCGCGACACCGCCGCCGACAGCACCCGUGGUCUGCCUGGACUAAGCCCGCCGCCGGCGCCGUCUCCCCCAGCACCCCCGCGGCAGCUCGAUUUGUACUUUCUGGUUUGCUCUGUCCUGCAGGUUCGACAGUUUGGUAACAGCAGCUGCAUCUCGACCAUCAGGCAAUAGAAACAGAAGCAGGGCUAUCGAAUGGCCUUGUGCUUAGCAGCUACAAGUGGUGUGCAACUGUCAUCAGUUCUACUAUCUGUCAAAAUAUUGUGGGUCAUUCUUUUCAUCUCAUCCACAGGUGCAGCAGCGACAGCAGCAUGUCAGCAGUUUUACUAAGUCAUCACUUAUCAGUUUUGCACUUCGUAAUGCAACUCGAUCUAGAUUCAGAGUAUCAUCUCGCCAUGAAUUUAAUCAUUGUGAAAUGUCAUUCUAUGCUAUACUGAAGCGACUGUUGCUCACAUUAUUUAAUCACUCCUUGCUUGCUUUGGCUGGUCAUUUGAAUUGAUUAGCUUUUGAACUAAAUGAACUUGAGCUCCUUUUGUAUGGCUUGUGCAUGUUACAUGUAUGGUUAAAUUAAAAUUAUUGCUCACAGGCCAUCACGUUUAUAACUGUGCUAUUCCAGACUUACAAUAGUAUGGCAGCCUUUCAUUUGUGAAUGUUUUAAGUAGUGGCCAGCUGCUAAUUAAUUUAGUAUCUUUCAUAUCUGAUCUGCAUAUUUGCCCUUGCUACUUCUUACAGUCUUUUUUGUUUAUUAAAAUUAGUAAUCUUUGCUACUUCUUUCAAAUGGUGGUUGCUGCAUAUCUGAGCAGCAAAUCCAUAUUAAACUAAUUUAGUAUGGCUACUUCUUUCAAAUUAGUAAUCUUUGCUCAGUCUUUUUUGUUUAUUAAAUUAAAUAAUUACUGUUUGUUCAUCCGGUGGUUGCUGCAGUAACUACGUACAUGACUUUUGCAUGCACAUUAGUUUAAUUCUCUUUCUUGAUCAAGUACACUCGCACAUUGCUUAGCAUACUGGUAUUUGCUUAUGUGAAGGAUAAAGUUAGCUUGCUGGUAUUUUGGUUCUGUUCAUGCUCUUAUUAUUUUUCUUUCUUGUAGUGUCAUCCUAUUGAAGCAUUACGGCUGAAGACUUGAAGCUGGAUGAUUGCAUAUAGACUAUGGAACAAUGUGAGAUUGUAAAGUAAAUUAGUCAAAAUAAUAUAAAAUUCAUGUAAUUGCAUGGAAGAUGGUAGGGAUGUUGGAAAUAUUUAGGUCUUGUGGAAUCUAAUUGGCCCUUAUUGAAAAUUUCAGGUGUGAAGGUACUAUGCCGGAUAGUUUUCUAAGUUCAGAUUUGAUUAGUGAUUUUCAGUAAAUAUAUCUAUAUCUUUUCUUAAUUCAGAUUCAAUCAUGGAUUGGGAUCAUGUGUUGUGGCCUAACAAAACAAUUAAACCUGUAUUUUUUUCCUUUUCCAAUUCUAAUGUUCUCAUAUGCUGCAGCCUUGAGCAUUUCUGUCAUAGCUAUAACAGCUCCUAAACAAGAAGUGUAACAAACAGGCAAUCCCUGUGAAAGAUAUUGAACAAUCAAAUUUGCAGGAGAAAAAUCGGAGCUGAGUUAUGCUUUGGAAUGGAGGAUAUAUCCACAAGGAACUAGCAAACACACUAGGAACGUUACUGAUGAUAACAAAAUGAAGCCACCAGUUCCAACUUCUAAAUCGACAGCUAGCAUGGUAGAUGACCCAUUUGUUGUUCUAGACACAGCCUCUGCUUCAGGUUCUGCAUCCCUAGGAAGAUCUGCAAAUCCCUUGGAAGAUCUAGAGAAGCCUGCAAACUCUGAAGGCAAGGCUGCUGUUAAUAGUUUAUUUGUUAUUUGAGGAACCAAUUACAUUUGACCAGGCCCCAAAAUCAGAUCGUUUGUUUGCCUCUGAACUCAAUGGUCAUGCCAAGGCCACCACUUACAGUAGAUUUCAGGCUUUCAGGCUCUUGAUAAGCAGUACUAUAACUUUCUUCUUUUUUCUUGGUAAAGUUUUAUACUUAACAUUCUCAAAUUGCAUUGCAGGAUUUCAGGCUCUUGAUGAGCAGUAUUAUAACUCAUGGCUUCAUAGGUUCUCUGAUGAAGAACUUUUGCUUUGUGUGUGCUUAUUGGAGUUCGUGUUUUUGCUAUAUCAGUUCCUAAAUUUGCCAUAAAUAUUACACGUUUUUUUAAAACGUACCGUUAGCACGGGCUAACUUACUAGUCCCAUUAAAAAGGAGGGAUGGGGGGGGGGCGCGGAGGAGGAGAAGCUGCUCUGAAUCUCUGAUGCAUGUGACAGGAUCAGGAGGAGAUUGUUGAAAAGAGCAAAAGCUCGCGAAGAAAGCAUUCAAACCAAGUACAGUAGCAUUCAAACCAGAAAGAGCAAAGACUGGCCUUGGAACAUUCUCUUUUGAACAUUACAGUGUACUUGAACCUGAACUCGCGGUUACCUCCUUGUAUGCAUUAAGACUCGAAGCAUGAUCAACUGAUCAAGCAUUAGAAGAAGCACUAGAUUAUCAUGUA